CAUACCAUUUGCAAAAGUCAACCCAAGGUAUUGCAAAUUGCAAAUCCAGUCAUUUUUAGUAGCCACUUAGUCACAAACACUGGUCAAAUUUUUUUUUUCUUUUUUAACACAAAAACAAAUAUGAACGCUAAUUGUGGCCAGUGUUUGUGACUAAGUGGCUACUUAAAAAGACUGGACAUACACCACUUGCAAUACCUUGGGUUGUCUACUUUUGCAAAUGGUAUG